UCUGUCUACUACAUACCAUCACUUUUGGGGGUUCGGAUUUCAACAUGAAUGGGGAGGGUCACAAAUAUUCAGGCCAUAGUAUAGAUCCAUAAACAAAUACUCAUAUAAUCUGACAGCAAGAGCCUCCAAAGCAAGAGCAGCAGCUUCAAGUGGGCAGAGACACUCAGUUGUUUGAUUUCAAGCCACCAAGAAUGUUCAAAGGCAGUGCCUGUGUUGAAGAAGCCUAGGAACUCUGAAAUCCAGCCCAGUGAGCUGCGGCCCAGAGAGCCCCUCCACAACCUUUCCCAAAAGGAAACCAUGGGGUGGGGACAGCCCUGGAAACUGAUUCCCACUCGAUUUUCAAGAGGAGCCACCUUUCUGAGCAGAGAGCCUCCAUGCCAAGCUUUUGUCUGCAAGGAGUUUUUCUGUGAAUUUAUUAGAAGCUGAAGAAAUGCUGACAGAGCAGUUUUGCCCAAGCCAGCAGGCUUCCAAGUGCACCUCAUUAGACCAGCUUCCUGCAGGCAACAGGGAACAACAGGCAGGGGAGGCUGAGCCUCAUCAGAACAACCGAACAGGCGUCUGAGGUGUUACAGAGGAGGGACCCCAAGAUGAGAGACGUGAGGGACUCCUGGAGUCACACAGCGAAUGCGGCAGAAGCCAUGGACUUGGGGCUUACGUUCAGUCACUGCUCCACAGCAAGUUCCUACCUUAGAGUAUUUCCACAUUCUCUGUCUUGUUGAUUCUUAUAAAACCUGAUGAAGUAAGCAAGCAAGAGUUACCCCAUUUAACAGAUACGGAAAUGGAGACCCACAAAGGGCCUUGCAGGAAGCUAUGGAGUCAGUGAGAUAAAGCCAGCUAGAGCCUAAGUGUUCCGGGCCUUAGCCUACAUGUCAUUCUACCUCGCCAAGUAAACUUUGCUCUGGAAGCGAUUGUUGAAAAAUAUUAUUGGUAAUGUGAUGCUGUGACUGGAUGGAUCCUGGGGUAGGAGAGACAUCAUUUGGGUAGAGGAAGGGGUGUGAGGAGAGGUCAGGAGGGUGAGAGGUCUGGACUUGGAGAAGGGCAGGGAGCUGCCGUGAGUGGGUGGGAGGCUCCACAGAGAAGAAGGAGAGCUGGGCGCUGCCAGCCAGGUUGCCUGGAUGGUGACCACCUUCCCAGCCACAUCACUGACCGCAAGGCCCACCCAUACCUCCAGCAAGAAGAAAAGAGUGAGGAGAGUCUCAAUGCUGGACAUUGCCGCAUCUUCACAUGGGAGCCCUAAUCCUCACACACCCCAGAUGAGGCGUGCUCACCCCUGUGUCUCUCCGAAGAAAGAACCCAGAGACCUCCUUAUGAUUUCACCAAGCGCCAGCAGCUUUAGGACAGGCCCAAUUUCCUCCAGCUAUCAGUGACCCGUUCUUUUAAUACCUCCUCACAGUUCAGUGACUAGUUCAUCCUGUGUGUGUGCACGUGAGUGUAUGCAUGCACACAUAUGUGUGUGCCCCUGCUCCCACGCUGUGGCUGUGGGGUGCGAAGGAUGGAGGCAGGAGACCUGCUCAGCACAGCCACCCUGACACGAGCCCAGCAGCCACCCUGCUCAGUGUCUCACCGCCUUCUGCUAGGAAAAUGAUCACUAAGGCUGGAUUUUGCCCACAGAUUUGGAUCCCAAUGAAUAUUUCCAGCAAAAGUCAUGUAAAUUGAUUUGUAGAAAAGGCAAAGAGGGAGAAAAAUGGGAGGCUGCAGACCCUGAAUUCAAUACCAAAUAAUCUAAUAUGCCCAAUUGCAUUUUCUUUCCCUACCUUUGAUGUCUGCAAGCAAAUCAUUGGCACUUUAAGUUUGCACAUAUAUCUCAAUGCAAAACAGUCAAGCGGCAAU